GCGGGAAUAACUCAGUGGUAGAGUAACCGGUUGCAAUUUCCUCCGAAUCGCUUGACCCGGUAAGUCCUUGGUUCAAACCCGAGUUCUCGCU